rnacentral:rRNA from 1 species
UGAGGCAAUAACAGGUCUGUGUGAUGCCUCACCCGCUGAACUUAAGCAUAUCAAUAAGCUGAGGCAAUAACAGGUCUGUGUGAUGCCCUUAGAUGUUCUGGGCCGCACGCGCGCUACACUGAUACGUUCAACGAGCUCCUUGACCGAGAGGCCCGGGUAAUCUUUGAAACCGUAUCGUGAUGGGGAUAGAACAUUGCAAUUAUUGUUCUUCAACGAGGAAUGCCUAGUAAGCGCGAGUCAUCAUCUCGCGUUGAUUACGUCCCUGCCCUUUGUACACACCGCCCGUCGCUCCUACCGAUUGAACGUGCUGGUGAAGCGUUAGGACUGGAACUUCGGGCCGGUUUCCCUGCCCAUCGUUUCGGGAAUUUCGUUGAACCCUCCCGUUUAGAGGAAGGAGAAGUCGUAACAAGGUCUCCGUAGGUGAACCUGCGGAGGGAUCAUUGAAACCGAUCAAACCAAUCACAGAGCACCUGCGGGCACUCGCUCCCCUCGGGGGGCGAGGGCCCGCCGUUUACAGGAUCCGCCGGCGCGUGAGCUCCCCUCGGGGGGCGACCGCGCCGGGCCGGAGCCCUAACCCAUUGAACCCUCUGCCCUGAAGCAGCUUCGCACAGGGACACCCCUGCGACAGUAACUGAGACAACUCUCAACAACGGAUAUCUUGGCUCUCGCAACGAUGAAGAACGCAGCGAAAUGCGAUACGUAGUGUGAAUUGCAGAAUUCCGUGAGUCAUCGAAUCUUUGAACGCACAUUGCCGGUCGACUCUUCGGAGGAGACCACAUCUGCCUCAGCGUCGGAAUACCCCCUCACGCACCCCCGCGUGGACCUGGCCCCCCCGGACGCCUCGGCGCCCGGGGCCGGCUGAGAUGCAAGGCUCGUGCGCGGCCCAUUCGUGGCCCCGACUAGGUAGGUAGCUCGCUACUUCUAGGCGGUGGCUCGGUGUCGCGUGCUGUGGGCCCGAAAGGAUACCAAUCCAUUCGUUCGACCUGAGUUCAGGUGAGGCUACCCGCUGAACUUAAGCAUAUCAAUAAGC